rnacentral:rRNA from 1 species
UACAGAGGGUGCAAGCGUUGUUCGGAAUUAUUGGGCGUAAAGAGCUCGUAGGCGGUCUGUCGCAUCGGCUGUGAAAACCCGGAGCUCAACUCCGGGCCUGCAGUCGAUACGGGCAGACUGGAGUUCGGCAGGGGAGACUGGAAUUCCUGGUGUAGCGGUGAAAUGCGCAGAUAUCAGGAGGAACACCGGUGGCGAAGGCGGGUCUCUGGGCCGUUACUGACGCUGAGGAGCGAAAGCGUGGGGAGCGAACAGG